rnacentral:rRNA from 1 species
AAGCCUGANGCAUCCAUGCCGCGUGAUUNAUGAAGGUCUUAGGAUUGUANAAUUCUUUCACCGGGNACGAUAAUGNCGGUACCCGUANANUAAGCCCCGGCUAACUUCGUGCCAGCAGCCUCGGUAAUUCGAAGGGGNCUAGCGUUGCUCGNAAUUAUUGGGCGUAAAGNGCGCGUAGCGGAUCGUUAAGUCAGAGGUGAAAUCCCAGGGCUCAACCCUGGAUCUGCCUUUGAUACUGGCGAUCUUGAGUAUGAUANAGGUAUGUGGAACUCCCGAGUGUAUNAGGUGAAAUUCGUAGAUAUUCGGAAGAACACCAGUGGCGAAGGCGACAUACUGGCUCAUUACUGACGCUGAGGCGCGAAAGCGUGGNGAGCAAACAGGAUUAGAUACCCUGNUAGUCCACGCCGUAACGAUGAUUGCUAGUCGUCNGGCUGCAUGCNUUUCGGUGACGCAGCUUACGCAUUAAGCAUUCCGCCUGGGGAGUACGGUCGCAAGAUUAAAACUCAAAGGAUUUGAC